AAAGGAAUAGACGGGGGCCCGCACAAGCGGCGGAGCAUGCGGAUUAAUUCGAUGCGACGCGAAGAACCUUACCUGGGUUUGACAUGGCCGUUAAAGCCGCAGAGAUGUGGUGUCCUUCGGGGGCGGUCACAGGUGGUGCAUGGCUGUCGUCAGCUCGUGUCGUGAGAUGUUGGGUUAAGUCCCGCAACGAGCGCAACCCUUGUUCGAUGUUGCCAGCGGUUCGGCCGGGGACUCAUCGAAGACUGCCGGGGUCAACUCGGAGGAAGGUGGGGAUGACGUCAAGUCAUCAUGCCCCUUAUGUCCAGGGCUUCACGCAUGCUACAAUGGCCGGUACAGAGGGCUGCGAUACCGUGAGGUGGAGCGAAUCCCUAAAAGCCGGUCUCAGUUCGGAUCGGGGUCUGCAACUCGACCCCGUGAAGUCGGAGUCGCUAGUAAUCGCAGAUCAGCAACGCUGCGGUGAAUACGUUCCCGGGCCUUGUACACACCGCCCGU
rnacentral:rRNA from 1 species